GAAAUCAAACGAGACUCCCAAAGUAGCGGCGAGCGAAAUGGGAUGAGCCCAAACCGGCUGGAUUCGUUCAGCCGGGGUUGUAGGGCCGGCAUAUGUGAUUCAUGAGUAGGCAGGGGAAAUGAGCUGGAAAGCUCUGCCAGAGCGGGUGACAGCCCCGUACCUGAAACCGAAAGCGACACAGCCGGUACCUGAGUACCGCGAGACACGUGGAACCUCGUGGGAAUCCGGGAGGACCAUCUUCCAAGGCUAAGUACUAACCGACGACCGAUAGUGUACCAGUACCGUGAGGGAAAGGUGAAAAGAACCUCUGUUAGAGGAGUGAAAUAGAAUCUGAAACCUGGUGCUUACAAGCUGUGAGAGCGGACUUGUUCCGUGAUCACGUGCCUUUUGCAUAAUGAGUCAGCGAGUUAAUCUGUACUGCAAGGUUAAGCGCAAGUGGAGCCGUAGGGAAACCGAGUCUGACAAGGGCGAUGAGUAGUGCGGAUUAGACCCGAAACCGGGUGAUCUAUCCAUGAGCAGGUUGAAGCAAGGGUAAAACCUUGUGGAGGACCGAACCAAUACCGGCUGAAAACGGUUUGGAUGACUUGUGGAUAGGGGUGAAAGGCCAAUCAAACCCGGUGAUAGCUGGUUCUCCCCGAAAUAUAUUGAGGUAUAGCCUCAUGGAUUGUCUACCGGAGGUAAAGCACUGACAGGGCUAGGGGUCCUACCAGAUUACCAAACCCUAUCAAACUCAGAAUGCCGGUCAGAUGUACCAUGGGAGUCAGACGGCGGGUGCUAAGGUCCGUCGUCGAGAGGGUAAGAGCCCAGAUCAACAGCUAAGGUCUCCAAAUCUAUGCUCAGUGGUUAAGGUGGUGACGUUGUAGAGACACCCAGGACGUUGGCUUAGAAGCAGCCAUCGUUUAAAGAAAGCGUAAUAGCUCACUGGUCUAAUGACGUUGCGCCGAAAAUGUAACGGGGCUAAGCAUAGUACCGAAGCUUUGAAUUCCGCAUAUGCGGUCUGGUAGGGGAGCGUUCUUCACGGGCUGAAGGUGUGUCGUAAGGCAUGCUGGACUGUGGAGAAGUGAUUAUGCUGACAUGAGUAACGAUAAAACGGGUGAAAAACCCGUUCGCCGUAAACCCAAGGUUUUCCGGGUAAAGGUAAUCUUCCCGGAGUUAGUCGGCCCCUAAGGCGAGGCUGAAAGGCGUAGCUGAUGGGAAACGUGUUAAUAUUCACGUACUUGUGUGUUCGCGCGAUGAAGGGACGCAGGAAGAUAGGCAAGCCGGGCGCUGGUUGUCCCGGUGCAAGCGUGUAGGGAUGAGAAGUUGGCAAAUCCGCUUCUCUCUAUCCUGAGACGCGAGUCCGUGACCGAAAGGUCUGAAGUUGUUGAGUCUAUGCUGCCUAGAAAAGCUUCUAAGUAUAGGACACGCAAACCGUACCGGAAACCAACUCAGGUGGGUGGGAUGAAUAAUCCAAGGCGCUCGAGAGAACUCUGGCCAAGGAACUCGGCAAAAUAACCCCGUACCUUCGGAAGAAGGGGUGCUUUUUAGGGUGAAGCGAUUCACUCUGUCGAGCCCUGAAAAGCCGCAGAGAAAUGGUGGUGGCGACUGUUUACUAAAAACAUAGGUCUGUGCCAAGUCGUAUAGACGACGUAUACGGACUGACGCCUGCCCGGUGCUGGAAGGUUAAAAGGAGGAGUCAGCGCAAGCGAAGCUCCGAAUUGAAGCCCCAGUAAACGGCGGCCGUAACUAUAACGGUCCUAAGGUAGCGAAAUUCCUUGUCGGGUAAGUUCCGACCUGCACGAAUGGCGUAACGAUCUCCACACUGUCUCGGCCAGAGACUCGGUGAAAUUGAAGUCGCGGUGAAAAUGCCGUGUACCCGCAGAAAGACGGAAAGACCCUGUGCACCUUUACUAUAGCUUGACAUUGGGAUUUGAGCCUGCAUGUGUAGCAUAGGUGGGAGGCUGUGAACUCUGUACGCCAGUAUGGAGGGAGCCAUCGUUGAAAUACCACCCUUGUUUGUUCAGGUCCCUAACUCUUCGCCGUGAUCCGGUAAGAGGACAGUGUCUGGUGGGUAGUUUGACUGGGGCGGUCGCCUCCCAAAAUGUAACGGAGGCAUGCAAAGGUUCCCUCAGGCUGAUUGGAAACCAGCCGUCGAGUGCAAACGCAAAAGGGAGCUUGACUGCAAGAGAGACAUCUCGAGCAGGUACGAAAGUAGGUGUUAGUGAUCCGGUGAUCCCGAAUGGAAGGGUCAUCGCUCAUUGGAUAAAAGGUACGCCGGGGAUAACAGGCUGA
rnacentral:rRNA from 1 species